rnacentral:rRNA from 1 species
GGAAGGAUCAUUAUCAGUUCAUGGCUGUACAUGCUGCAUGUGCAAUCCAAGAUAAACCACUCUGCGUAUUUUUCCUGUUGCUUCCAUGGGGCAUGGUGCUUGCGCCGCUCUGCCGGCACGGUCCUCGAGGCCACCGCCGUCCGGGAGUCCUCAUGGAAGGUCACCCAGCAAACCCUUUGCCUGCUCAUGAUUUCUGUCUGAAUGUGAUUUAUCGAAAUGUUAAAACUUUCAACAACGGAUCUCUUGGUUCUUGCAUCGAUGAAGAACGCAGCGAAAUGCGAUAAGUAGUGUGAAUUGCAGAUCUCAGUGAAUCAUCGAAUCUUUGAACGCACAUUGCGCCCCUCGGCAUUCCGGGGGGCAUGCCUGUUCGAGCGUCAUCAAAACCACCUCAAGGCAUUUUUAUGUUCUUGGUCCUGAAGGUUGAUUGGUUCGAUUUGCCACUCACCUUCGAAAUGAAUUGGCGGGUUGCAAUCUUCAACGAGUGUAAUAACAUUUACCAUUCAUGAGUCGAUCGUUGCACAUCUUGCCAUUGACCCCCACACAUUUCCAGGUUGACCUCGGAUCAGGUAGGGAUACCCGCUGAACUUAAGCAUAUCAAUAAGCGGAGGAAAAGAAACCAACAGGGAUUGCCUCAGUAACUGCGAGUGAAGCGGCAAAAGCUCAAAUUUGAAAUCCGGCGUCUCUGGCGUCUGAGUUGUAAUUUGGAGGGGCAUCUUCGAGGUUGGCGUCGUCCUAAGUUCCUUGGAACAGGACGUCACAGAGGGUGAGAAUCCCGUGCCUGGACGGAUGUCCGGCCUCAUGUGAAGUGUCUCCGACGAGUCGAGUUGUUUGGGAAUGCAGCUCAAAAUGGGUGGUAAAUUUCAUCUAAAGCUAAAUAUUGGCGAGAGACCGAUAGCGCACA